UACAGAGGUGCCAAGCGUUAGGCGGAAUCACUGGGCUUAAAGCGCGUGUAGGUGGAUGGGUAAGUACCUUGUGAAAUCCCACGGCUCAACCGUGGAACUGCUUGGUAUACUGCUUGUCUUGAGGCACUCAGGGGCAGCUGGAACAAAUGGUGGAGCGGUGAAAUGCGUAGAUAUCAGGAAGAACACCAAUGGCGAAAGCAGCUCUCUGGGACGGUACUGACGCUGAGACGCGAAAGCGUGGGGAGCAAACAGG
rnacentral:rRNA from 1 species